GGCCUCCGCAGGGAGAGGAAACUAAUGAAGACAACGGGGAGAUGGAGGAAGGAACCAGAGAUGUUCAAAGACUAGAUCGUGGGUCAGAUGGUAAUGACUCUAACCUAAGGCAGGGAUGAUGGCAGAAAGAUGCCUUCACAGGACAAACUGAGCCUAGCGCUCAACACCCCCACCUGGGGAAAGUGACACCUGCAUGGGAACUUAUCCAUGGGUACCACCAGACCCAAAGGACCUCUAUCUUCAAGUAAACCCUACGCUCCCCAAGCAGACAGUGUCAUUUCGGUGAAUGUCCUAACAGCAAAACAAAUUUCUUCUCCGGGGAAUGGUCUUCACAAAUUAUUGCCCAGAGAGUGAAUAAUUCUUCUCUAGUCAGUGGCUAACAGGGAAAUUAUCUAUGUGCCUCUGGACUUGUUCUUGUAUCACAGUGAAUAAACUGGUCCAACCCAAACUGACACAUCCACAAACUCCCUUUGUGAUCCUAGGUAAGAUUUUAGAUGGCAUUUGUCAAUGUAAAAAAUAAAAAUAAAGAACAUAAUGUAAUCAAGUUGCUUUCACACACAACCUAGUUGGUUUUGGCCAAUUAGGAUAUUGGUAGGCUCCUUCAUUGAGCCCAGACCAGAGUACCAUCAGUCCCAGGACUCUAAAAGCCAUCUGUCUUAGUCCCUUUUGUGUUGCUAUAACACAGUAUCUGAGGCAGGGUAAUCUGCAAAGAGAAGAGGUAUUUAAUUCAUGAUUCUAGUGUCUGCGAAGUCCAAGAGCAUGGUGCCCAUGGCUUCUGGUGGGAGCCUUGUGCUGUCUCACAACAUGGUAGAGAAGUAGGAGGGGAAGUGGGCCUUGUGAAAGAGAAGCCAAACAGGAGAGGUGGCCUCACUUUAUAAAAUCCACCUUCUUGGAAAGCAACCCAUUCCCAGGAGAACUCACUCCUGAGAGAUGGCAUUUAAUCUCUCCAUGAGGGUCCCUCGUGGACCAAACACCUCCCACCACUCAACACCAUUACACUGGGGACCAAGCCUCAGUGAGUUUUGGUGAGGACCAACCAUACCAAACCAUAGCACCACUGGAACAACAAGAUUGAGAAUGGCUAUCACAACAUGGAAAUCCUAACCCAUUUUCCUAGAAAUAUACUCUCUCAUUCAUCCCAAUAGCUCUGCAGUCCCCACAACCUCUACUUAUCGUCCUCUGACCCACAACCCC
rnacentral:lncRNA from 1 species